UAGGGAAUCUUCGGCAAUGGGGGGAACCCUGACCGAGCAACGCCGCGUGAGUGAAGAAGGUUUUCGGAUCGUAAAGCUCUGUUGUUAAGGAAGAACGAGUGUGAGAAUGGAAAGUUCAUGCUGUGACGGUACUUAACCAGAAAGGGACGGCUAACUACGUGCCAGCAGCCGCGGUAAUACGUAGGUCCCGAGCGUUGUCCGGAUUUAUUGGGCGUAAAGCGAGCGCAGGCGGUUAGAUAAGUCUGAAGUUAAAGGCAGUGGCUCAACCAUUGUAGGCUUUGGAAACUGUUUAACUUGAGUGCAGAAGGGGAGAGUGGAAUUCCAUGUGUAGCGGUGAAAUGCGUAGAUAUAUGGAGGAACACCGGUGGCAAAAGCGGCUCUCUGGUCUGUAACUGACGCUGAGGCUCGAAAGCGUGGGGAGCGAACAGG
rnacentral:rRNA from 1 species